rnacentral:rRNA from 1 species
GGAUCAUUAAUGAAUGAAAUUGAGUGGGGUUGUAGCUGGCCUUUCACCGGGCAUGUGCACACCUCAUUCAACCACCUUCUACACCUCUGUGCACUUCUCAUGAGUUGGGCCGCGUCUGAAACACGACAAAGUCCGGCUCAUGUGCUUUAUACAAACAAAUUAUGUUAUAGAAUGUCACUAUCAUGCUUUAAAGCAUAUAAUACAACUUUCAACAACGGAUCUCUUGGCUCUCGCAUCGAUGAAAAACGCAGCGAAAUGCGAUAAGUAAUGUGAAUUGCAAAAUUCAGUGAAUCAUCGAAUCUUUGAACGCACCUUGCGCUCCUUGGUAUUCCGAGGAGCAUGCUUGUUUGAGUGUCAUGGUCUUCUCAACCCUUCUGUCUUUGUCAUUGAAGGCAGCUGGGCUUGGACUUGGAGGUCUUGCAGGCGCCCGGAUUUUUUUAUUCGGAUGUCGGCUCCUCUGAAAUGCAUUACCUUGAAUAGAACCAAGCAUGAUUCAGCGUGAUAAUUGUCUACGUUGCUUCGUCUCGGUGAAUUUAAUGUUCAGGCUUCUAACCGUCCCCUGGGACAAUAUCUGAACAUCUGACCUCAAAUCAAGUAGGACUACCCGCUGAACUUAAGCAUAUCAAUAAGCGGAGGAAAAGAAACUAACAAGGAUUCCCCUAGUAACUGCGAGUGAAGCGGGAAAAGCUCAAAUUUAAAAUCUGGCAGCUUGGCUGUC